rnacentral:rRNA from 1 species
GACGAACGCUGGCGGCGUGCCUAAUACAUGCAAGUAGAACGCUGAAGGAGGAGCUUGCUUCUCUGGAUGAGUUGCGAACGGGUGAGUAACGCGUAGGUAACCUGCCUGGUAGCGGGGGAUAACUAUUGGAAACGAUAGCUAAUACCGCAUAAGAGUAGAUGUUGCAUGACAUUUGCUUAAAAGGUGCAAUUGCAUCACUACCAGAUGGACCUGCGUUGUAUUAGCUAGUUGGUGGGGUAACGGCUCACCAAGGCGACGAUACAUAGCCGACCUGAGAGGGGGGUCGGCCACCCUGGGACGGAGACACCGCCCAGACUCCUACGGGAGGCAGCAGUAGGGAAUCUUCGGCAAUGGACGGAAGUCUGACCGAGCAACGCCGCGUGAGUGAAGAAGGUUUUCGGAUCGUAAAGCUCUGUUGUAAGAGAAGAACGAGUGUGAGAGUGGAAAGUUCACACUGUGACGGUAUCUUACCAGAAAGGGACGGCUAACUACGUG